CUCCUGAACGCCCAAUUUUGUGUAUUAACAAUUGUGGCUUCUUUGGAAGUGCAGCCACGAUGAACAUGUGUUCCAAAUGCCAUAAAGAUAUGCUGUUGAAACAGGAGCAGGCUAAGCUCGCUGCAUCAUCUGCUGGAAAUUUUGUUAAUGGAUCAUCAAGCAACAGUGUGGAACAACCUGUUGUUGUUGACACUAUUGACGUUCAAGUCAACAAAGUGGAGUCAAAUAGCAUCUCUGUGCAGCUGUCCUGUGCUUCAGGGCUGGGGGAGAGUGUUGAGGCAAAGCCAAAGGAAGGUCCAAGCCGGUGCAGCACUUGCAAGAAACGGGUUGGUUUAACAGGGUUCAAGUGUCGAUGUGGCAACUUUUUCUGUGCAUCUCAUCGCUACUCGGACAAACACAACUGCCCAUUUGAUUAUCGCAAUGCGGCACGUGAGGCUAUAGCAAAAGCCAACCCCAUUGUCAAGGCUGAGAAGCUUGAUAAGAUCUAGAUCAAAUGGGGUGAAGUUUCAUGUACUGGAACUUGAUGAUCAUUUUGUCUUUUGAGGCUUCUGAGUUGGCCAAGUAUCUUAGCAGGUGUCCUUCUGUAUUGUUGUGUAUGGGAGAAGCAAGGCAGCAUAGGACAUCUCUCUGCAAAAUGAAGGACUCUAUAUCUUGUGAUUGGCGAGAGUUUAUAUGUUGCCUCCAGUGUUAUUAAGUCUAAAUCUGUGCUGGUUUGAUGGACU
rnacentral:misc_RNA from 1 species